GACGAACGCUGGCGGCGUGCCUAAUACAUGCAAGUCGAGCGAAUCAACGGGAGCUUGCUCCCUGAGAUUAGCGGCGGACGGGUGAGUAACACGUGGGUAACCUGCCUGUAAGACUGGGAUAACUUCGGGAAACCGGAGCUAAUACCGGAUACUUUCUUUUCUCGCAUGAGAGAAGAUGGAAAGAUGGUUCUGCUAUCACUUACAGAUGGACCCGCGGCGCAUUAGCUAGUUGGUGAGGUAACGGCUCACCAAGGCGACGAUGCGUAGCCGACCUGGGGGGGUGAUCGGCCACACUGGGACUGAGACACGGCCCAGACUCCUACGGGAGGCAGCAGUAGGGAAUCUUCCGCAAUGGACGAAAGUCUGACGGAGCAACGCCGCGUGAGCGAAGAAGGCCUUCGGGUCGUAAAGCUCUGUUGUUAGGGAAGAACAAGUACGAGAGUAACUGCUCGUACCUUGACGGUACCUAACCAGAAAGCCACGGCUAACUACGUGCCAGCAGCCGCCGUAAAAC
rnacentral:rRNA from 1 species